UGCGUGCCUGUUUGGGUAUGUUCAUGUGUGUGUGUGCGUGCGUGUGUGUGCUUAAUACCCCUGUCCUCUCCAGCACCGGGGGCCUUUUUCUAAAAUGCAUCAGUGAUUUUGGCUCCGCAGCCGGUGACAACACGGUUGGUUUUCAGCACACCACCGGCAAGGCUUACCUCUCAGCCAGGGACGGCCAAGCAGACACUUUCCCUGGACAAUCCCCCAGCCUUACCCGACCCCACCCCCCCAAUACUCAUACACACACAUGCACAGACACACAAAACGCACACAACCCUUCAGCAUCCUUUCCCAAUCCUGCAGAAAACAAGGUAAAGGAAUACUCUGACGGAUCCAAUGAAGUGUCUGAUUCCAAUUUCUCCUCAAGUACAACAUCAAUUCCACGAGAGUCGUUGUGAUGGUGCGACAGUAACAUAUGAAAUGCUGAAACUUGAAAUUUUACUGUCAUAUUGAGAUUCUUGUACAUAAUGUUUUUUUAACUUGAUGCCAACAACAAACAAGUUGGAGAAGGUCCGACAAAAAAACGAAACACUGAAAUCCCUUGUUGGAACAUCUCCCAACCAAUGACAGUAAUUUGCAACAUUAGGGGCUCUAAAAGGAGCUAUUAUAAGACAGACAUGGCUCUGUCAUGAAACUCACCAUAUCACAUACAAAACUCAUCAUCUUUGAACACAAAUGCAAGUCAAAAAAUGAACCAUACCAAAAGGAAACUACCUAGAAACAUGAUCCAGAAUUAACAAGGUACUCCUCUGGGCCUUGGGCUGAAGUGAGGUGGAAAACUUGCCCAUGGUUCGAAAAAGCUAAAUUUGACACUCUUUUUGGAAAUCGGGGACACUGCAUCCAAAAGAGGAGUGGGAUCAAAUGGGAUCAGUUCAAAAGCCAACUUUCCUGGUGGUAUGAGGUUGUAAAAGUCCUCAUGGUAUGGGUAGAUAACACUUCUAGGAAGGUGUCAUUGAUGCUAAACAACAUCUGCUGCCAUCCGGACAAUGACUCAUUUAAGGUAGACCUUCAUAUUCCUUAGUCGAAGAGUCCUGCUGCUAGAUCAACCCGUCUUCAGUCCUGUUACUUUGUAAGUUUCAGCAUCUGGUGUGUAAUUUUUUCCACCAUUUUCAAUACACGAUUAGCUUUAACCAUCAACCUCUAUUUUUAUGAUCAUUUUCCCAAGUAUCCCAGCUCUUGAAGAAAAUGAGCUGCAGGUAUCUCUGCGCUGAUGUUGCGUGCAUGUUGGUGCAGGUGUGUAUUAUAAUGAGCUGUCCUCUAUUGAAAUGUGCUGUUGGCUGUUAUUCUUGGGAUCUUUGGUGGAAAAAAAAAGUAGGAGAGUGCCAGAAGUGAAGGUUUAUAAUUUAUUAAACUAAUUUGAGUCAAAUUUUGCAACCACUCACACAUGUGACAGCUGCAAAUAUACAGUGAUCAAUUCAGAGCGCAAUAUCAAAUAUUAGUCCGCGCUGCCUGUCUUCUCCUUUCAACUCGGUGCCAUCAAUUGUGCUUCUCUGCCAGGCCUGUCACUGCGCUGAUUUACUGCUGUUUUGCCUAAUACACUGUAAUGACUCUGUUUAUAAAAGAAUCGAAGAAGCCACCCACAUUCACAAUCCUCAUUUUCGCCCGAGCGCGAGAGCAAGCGACGGCGGACUCGAUUGAUGGCAACAAAACUGCCGCGUGUCUGUUUAACAGAGACACACACAAAAAAAACUCACACAUUGGAGCCGAUCAGUUGAUCUGCCGCCUCAGACGAGAAAGCAGUAACUGUGUCUAGACGAGGGCCCAUAAAUCAGGCGAUUUCACAUUAAUAAAGCAAUGACAAAACUGACUAUUAAUCAAAGCGCAGUGGGAGAGAAUAAACACGCGAUUUUUUUUUCUUCUUUUCCCCUCUCAGCUGCAAAUAAGAAUCCCAUUUAGGGUGUUAUGAAACUGUCUAGUUGACCUGCGGGGGAGAUAAUACGUCCUUCAGUGAAAGUACUGCUGUUUCUGACUGUGUCAUUGCCAUAACAUGAGCCAUAUACUGUAUGCAAUUCCACCCUGAGGUCAUGCACACACACACACACAUAAACCCGCUGUUGUUUGCCAAUUUAACAGAAGAGAUUCCUUUUGGAAAGGUUUCUCCGAGCUCUUGUUUAUCUGUGUGGAAAUAUCCUCUUAAGUAUUACAAAACACUCCCAGCAGCUGCCAAUAACUGCAGAAACUCAUCCUGAAAUAUUUCCUCUGAUGCCGGUUUGUUUUUGUACAAAUGUGUCCCUGUAUUUGUGUAUAUGUGUGUGUGUGUCGGCUUUUUUUUGGUCCCGUUCCAAGCUCUGUCUGACUCUGUGAUUUUACGCGGUUUGUGAUAAGCGGCAAAGUCAGGAAAGUUGAGAUGGGAAUCUUCGCUCUGUUCUUAUUUGUGCUGUUGUUUCAGCCAUGUCAGAUAGUGUAAACACACUGCAACAACUGCGAUACAACUCAGGGGUUAUCAGAUCUGUAAUUGUCUGCGCCUCUUUUGAGAAAGCGCACCGCUGAUUCUUCGGGUAAUAUCUACAAACAUAAUCCGCAGUCGACUUGAUGUGCUUAAACCGGCUCCUCUGUCUCAGAGUGGCAGCGCCUACACCAGUGUGUAUCCCCCACAAAAACACACACAAAAGAAUACACUCCAUAGAAACUGUUUAUUUCCGGAUGUGUGUGUGUGCGUGUGUGUGUGUGUGUUCGACUGAAAGCCAUGUGUGUUCCGCAUGCAUCACACAGUCCUGAUAAGAUUUGAGCUGUUUUUCUAAUUAGAAGUUGCUGGAAUUGUGAUCAUUAUUUUCCCCUCAAUUAAAUGAUACAGCCUCCUGCAAAAGGAGCUUCUAAUCAGUUUGUAAUUAAUGCCGUGGAAUUUCUCUAACUGCCUGCUGUUUCCACUCCCCAGUAAAAGGGAAAAAUAAAGACGUCGCCUUUAUAUGCUCUUAACGGAGGUUAUUAAUGUGCCAUUGUGGAUUCAAUCUGAGACUAACUGCCCGUUUUACUCGUUUGCCAAGGCUGAAUGAGGAAUAUAUUUCACCAUUUCUCCUGCAGAAGCAUAAAAUCAGCGUCACAUUGGAGGUCUUGCACCAUCAUCCACUAUUUGAUUGGUAUUUGAGUUCUGUUUUACCUUACACUUAAAAUAAAUGUAAAGCAAUGUCGAUCAAAUUAUGCAUGAGGAAAGAAGGACUUUUAGAAAAACCUUAAUUCGAAACUAGGACGCCUUUUAGUGCCCAUACCUCAAAAUAGGGCUGGGCGAUAUAGCCGAAAGAAACAAAAAAGACACAAUCCUGAUUUAAGAUGAUAAAUGAUCUCACUUUAUAUGAUAUUGAUACUGAAUAUAUACCGUAUUUUCGGAACUAUAAGUCACACUUUUUUUAAUAGUUUGGCUGGGUUGGCGACUUAUACUCAGGUGUGACUUAUAUAUAUUAAAAUACAUAAUUUUAUAUAUAAUUUGGUCUUGGAUUAUGUAAAAUAAAUUCCCCACCAAAAAUGCAACUUCUACCCGUAUAUAUUUUUUCUUCUUCAUUAUGCAUUCUUAAUUGAUGCGACUUACACUCCUGAGCAACUUAUAGUCCGGAAAAUACGGUAUUAAUUUUUAAGCGUAUUACAGUCACUUUAGAAAAGAAAACUAAUUUGACUUUGAUUAUAGUCUAUAUUAUUUCUGAAAGUGCUGUUGGUAACACUCAAUAAUAACCAUAAUUUAAAAAUGGUACAAAGAUAGUUUAUCAAUGUUUAAUCAUCAUUUAAAAACAGGAUAUAGACCAAUUAUAAAUGGCAAAUAUGUACUUAAUUCAUGUAAGUUAAUAUAAUUUUCAUUUAUUAUUAAUGGACUAUUUAUUAAAGGUUUAUAUAGGGUUUAAAAAUUUGUAUGAAAACGUCUAGAUAAAAAUGUGUGUCAGUAGCACUUUGUAAAUGAUUAAUAUUUGGUUUAUAAACCACCUAUAAACAUUACUUAGAUGGUUAUUGUUCAGUUAGGGUUAGGGUUAGGGUAUAUUUAUAAGUUGUGGUUAUUGUGAAGUGUUACCAAAAACUAUUGUCAAAAAAAAAUGUUAUACGCUUCUAUACAACAAAGAUGCUACACAAAAAGAAACGCAUACGCAUAAAGCAAGGAAUGACUCAAAACAAGUGUUAGCCCCUCGGCCGUUUAUGUCAUCUUUUCAUUUAUGUUUGUGUGUGGUUUCUGUAGAUCUGUUGUAGAUCAGGAGAUCUCACUGGACAUUCAAACGAGAGACUGAAUAUUAAAAUAUACAUGACAUACAUGAAAUUGGAGUAAGAGUGAGCUGAUGUUGGCUGCUUUUUGGAUAGUGGACAUGAGACCACUGCUUGACCACCAUGAGACAUUGCUUCCACUUAGUUUGCAUGCCUCUAUCAAUUUAAGAUGUUGAAAUAAGUUUGUCAUGCCUAUACAAAUGUAUGCAAACACUUCCAUACUCUGGUUUCAAAAUUAAAACUCAAUAUGACAACUCAAUUCAACCAAAGAGGGACCCUUGACAUGUUCAUGUUCAACAUUUCUCCAGCACAAAAAGCCAAUUACAGCAAUUUAAAACGUGUCAAAAGUAAGGUAUAGAAAGUAAGUAACCACUUAAGACCAAAAGAAAACUCUGUGUUCAGUUUUCAUCAUCAUAAAAAGACGGAUCUGUAAGUCCCAGGUGCGAGGCUGCGAUAUCUGUCAGAAAUAAAUCUACAUGAGCCAUACAAGCUUACACAUGCUCUCCGUCACCCUGCCUACCAUUCAGUCAGUCAUUUAGACAGUCAGUCAGUCAGUCAGUCGGUGUGUGGAUAAGGAUCUGGAUGAGCUCAGGUGAUUACACUCCUUAGGCCAAUGCUAAUUGCAAGGUCCUUGCUCUAAGUGCUGUAAAAGUAUUAAUUAAAGGGAACCAUUAAUCAAGGCCUUUGGCAGCCGACAGUGAGCAGGAGGAGGAGGAGGAGGAGGAGGAAAAAAGAAGAAAGGAAGAUUUUCUCAGAAUGGGUUCAGACUUUGCUGAUUUUCUCUUUCACUUCCUGUGUGUGUGUGUGUGUGUGUGUGUGUGUGUGUGUGUGUGUGUGUGUGUGUGUGUGUGUGUGUGUGUGUGUGGGUGGAGCUGGGUGUGCGUGAUCGGAAACUUCUAGUGACAUAGGAAGGACAUGCUGGGUUAAGGGUCAUGACUGUAACACCUAUUGCAUCACAUCUGUCAUACUCCGACACCGGGGAGACGACAGGAAACAAGAAAAUGACACCUCAGGUCUACAUCCGUUCGCCAAACUGGGAACGCCGGCUUAAAUUUGGUCUUGAUAAACUUAAACACAAGCAAAGAGGAGGAGCUGAGGCUGACUUCAGUUUCAAAUGCACCAACCUGCUCAUUACCUCCUCCUUAAUAUGCAAAUGUAAGAGGAGCUCUCAAAAAAAUGGUUACUUAAGAAACUGCAGUUUUAGGCAUUUUCCACUGGUUUGACUUUUCAAAGGCUCAAGCUCACUCUUGAUGACCUAAAGUACUGUUUUCUUAGUUAUAUGUUCUCUAAAAAGUUUCCAUUGCAGAGUACGUUGGAAAAAACAAACUGCAAAUCGAUUUGAGAGAGACUUAUAUAAGACACAAAUGCUAAUCAACUGGUAAAUCUGCUAAACUCUGGUUAUUGAGUAAAACAAAAAAAUGCAAAUCCUUAGAUGCAUGCUGUUCCAAAGUGAUACCCCUGAUAAACAUGUUUUUUUUUUAAUAAUCAGUUUUGAUUCAACACGCCAAAAGUUUUAUUCUUGUCUUCGAGUUUUUUGUUAGUUUGUAGAAAAUUCUCAUCUGCUGCUGGUUAGUAGUAAAUUCAAACCAGGAAGCUAUGUUGUAAAAUUUGCAUUAGGCUGUUAGGUUGACGAUACAUACACCAGGGUUAUAAACAGAGACAUAAUAUACCUUGACAACUCUUAGACUGACGCUGCCCACUGGAGCUGAUGUAUCAUUGCAGCCACCAUCUUGGAUGGGUCCCUUAAGCACAUUUAUUUCUAUAGGAGGGGAGGUAUGCCCAACUACUUUCAUUAUAACUCCCUGAAUUUUUACCCGAUUCUCACACUCUUAUUCUCUGUUGGAUUGGUACAAACAGAAUAGAUGUAGUGAUGGUACAGGACGCUGGUAAGGUAAUCCUACAAGAUAUGGUUUCAACACUGGGCUGGUUUUUGCAACCAUAGGGCGCACAAAAUACGGGCAUAGACGUUCAUUUUCCGUUGACUCUGGUUGGCUCUGGUGCAAGACUAGCAUAAGGAGACCCUGGAUUAUGCUUCAGCAUGGAAUGAGGCAUCUAUGUAUACUAUGUCUAUGGUUAUAAGCUUUAAUACUUUUCUUUAUUGAUACAAAGACUGAAUGUUAAGGUAGAUUUUAUUGGAUUUCGUGUUUGUCUUUGGUGUCAACUCUUCCCUCUCUGGUAGAGGUUCCAUAAACAACUAAAGAACUCUUCAGUUUAUUCCAAACAACCCAAAGUACCGCACUAAGAACUGGAUGGAUUUAACCAGAGUAAAAUAUUAUAAGCACCAUAAAAAGGAGAAAGACGUCUAAAGAAAAAUUCAACAUUCAUGAUUAACUUGCAAAGCCUUCAUGUUUGCCUGUACACGUAAUGAUCAUCUGUUGAUUCACUUUCUCCGGUGUGAGGCUUACGCACUAACCGUGAAUAACUCAUGUUUGUUCUGCAGGAAUAAGAGUAAGUGCUCCAACCUUUAUGGAAUACUAUAACAUGGCUAAACAGGGUUGUGUUUGGACAUGAAAAAAUAUUCAUAUUCCUCGCAGUUUUCACAAGUCCCCCAGACUUAAAAGUUAAAAUUAUACACUGCUUCUUAUUAAAAGCUCCGAUUAUUGCCCUGAGCCUUAAUUUAUACAUAUGCAUGGAUUUAAGCUCUAAAUAUGCAGACGGACGGUGCAGGGAAGAGCAGGAGUGAAAUCCUAUUAUAUCCUACCUGUUAGAUGUAAAGUAGUAAGCCCUCUGACUCCCAGCAGAAUGGGACCGCAGAGACAAAAGGCAUCAGUGCUAAACGACUGAGGUGAUUUUAAUCACAUGCUCUUAGGGAAAGAAAGAGUGAAGAAAAAAUAACAUCUGAAAACCAAUUCAGCGAACAAAGGCCUGAGUGUUCCCUUGUGGCGGGAUCGAAGAGGAGAAGAGGACGAGUAAAAGAAUGAAAGCGGGGGAAUCGGGUUUUAUCGCGGUUUUGAGUCACUGAACUAAAGGUUGGGGUUCAGAGAGGAGAUGAGGAGGGGAGGGGGGAAAACUAGAAACCUCCUCCAAGUCCGCCAGGAUAUUUAAUUUCUAUCUCUUUCUCCUCAUCUCGUCCAUAAACCUGAUGAACAUCAUUUUCGUGUCUGUUCCCACUCUCUCUUCUUUCCUUGUCAUUUACAAAAUGGCUGCUGAGGGUUGGAGGAUGAUGCUCAAUUUGUAGAAAGUCUGAAACCCUAAAGAGGCUGUGAGAGACAGGGGGCCGGGUCUGCGCUCGGGUUUCCCUAAUGGCUGCGCAGGGAUCGGCCCCCUGUACUGGAUUGGCCUGUUAAAUGAUUUUCUGGGCUCAAGGCCCAGCCAGGUCCCCGUCAAGUCUUUGUCCCACGACAGACGGACAAAACGGGCAGAAGAAGAGGAAACACAGGCGAGAUAGGAGAGGUAAUGAAAGAGGGAAAUGGACACGAUGGAGGCUGAGCAGACGGAGGGUUGGGCUGUACACAGUAAACGAGGAGGGGAGUACUCACAGUCUGCAGCACCAGGAUCCAGGUCUUAGUUUGUCACAUCGGUCCAGAGGGGUGAACUUGUAGCAGUUUCACAUCUGGAAAAACAAAAAAAGAAGCAGAGUUUCAAAAAAGUUUACUGUUUUUGGGCCCGAAACAGAAAAAUGCUUAAACCCACACUUCAAGUACAGUAAACAUUAAAUUAUAAGUCAAUCUUUCGGUCUUCUUGGGUCUUUUAGUGUUUGAUGAGAUAUCUACGGCAGGCCUCGACAAAACUUUGGUAUUUGACAGACUCUGGAUCCCAGGAUUACAGUCUGAGAUGCACUUUUUCAAUUUGGGUUUGAUUAUAUUACCACACAUCGAAACCGAAACCCUAAAGCCAAAGUGUUAGACAUAUAAAAACAGUGUCAUCAGCAUAGAGGGUGACUAAGUAGCUCUUUUGCCCAUUAAAAAUGACAAAACACUGGGUCCAAACACUGGCUUUGGAUAAAAGACAAGGAAGGUAAUUUUCACAAAAUGAGAAAGGAGCUGCAGAACUAUCUCCAUUGCUUCCAUAUAGUUUUCAAGAUGUCAACAAUCGAGUUUAAAUAGCAAUACUGGAGCAGUAAAUGAAAGUAUUUCUAAGAAGCAGCUGAUCCUGGAGGAACACACAUGAAAUUCAUCCAUAAUGUGCAUUCAGAAAAAGUGUCCACAAACAGUUGGGUACAGAAAAACUUAGAAAUCAACUCUGUUAGAAUAAAAAACAAGACAAACAAAAGUCAGUGAGCAAAUCUGAAAAGACAUAAACUAUUUCUUUCUAAAUCCGAUAAAAAAUCUGCAUGACUUUAAAUGGAAAAUCAUUCAAACUACUGCUCAAGGAAACGUGGCGCUGGACGACACUCAGUUCUGAUGUUCUGUUUUUAGUUAUUUGUCUUCAAAAACAUAAACUUACAAUAACUUCUCUUCGAAAAAGUGGCGAAGACUGACGGAGGGUUUGAUACGAGCUUUCCGUCACUUGCCCACCCUGACUUCUGAUUCUCAGAGCUGACAUCAAUUUAGGAAUCAAACAGAGGUCAACUUUGCAAUGAGCACCUCUAGAUUCAGCAAAUGAGUCAAACUGUGAAACUGUUGUUUUGUGGUUGAUUUCCUGUGAAUUUGAUCAGGGAUAUGCAAAUUGUAAAAGGUAAAAACGUCAGAAGUGGCUUUUUGGUUCAAGACAUCCUCCUAAAAAUGUUUGAAAAAGGCUCUGUGGUGAACUUAUAUAGUAUAUAAAUCCCUGAAUCAAUGAGUGUUUUAACCGUUUAAUAGGCGUUAGUUAAUGUGCCAUUGUGGAGGAUUUUUAGUCUCCUUUUCUGACAUUUUUCAGCCCAAAAAUGACAUGAAUAUCAGCAAUUGAAUCAGGGCAAAAGAGAGAGACACAAACUUAACCACCUCUAGCUGCCUGUGUCCUCUUCUAACAAAGGUAAAAGGAAUAAUCUACACUUUUAUUCUCAGUGAUAAAGAGUAUGGAGUGAAGUUACAGCUUUAUCAUGGACAGAAGUUUAAAAAUGAAGACAGUUAUUUCCUGCAGUCAGGCAACAGACGUUCUAAAAUUCCCCCCCCUGCAACCAAAAUCUCAUUAAUCUGGUUUAAUGUUCGAUUUAGCUCAAAUGUAGGUUAGCUGUGGGUCCAUGAAAGGCGUCUCCAUAUACAGCGUGAUUGUACUUUAAGUGAGAGGAGGAGCGAAGGGUCCGUUAGUGAGACAGUUCAGCGCAGGCAGAUGAUGAAGGUGCAUUAACUCCUUUUUUUUCAUUACUGUUUAACUUAUCCACGCUCUUUUCACAAUCCCUUUACAAGGUCAAUGUAAAAUUAACUUGAAAUGUAUACCUCCUCCAGCAAUCACUCCUCUCAAUUCGGGAAAUGUCCUUUAUAUGCAGGGAAAUUGUGGGAGUGGAGAGAAGAGCGCAGAAAAGACCCUCACAGACCUACUUUUUUUCACCCGCCACUCUGCAAAAUCGUACAAUUCAUGAUGUCGAUAAUGUGGAGAGUUCUCACUUAAUUAAACUUGUGCAUACAGUGCAAAGUUUAAAAAGCAGAAAUUGCUCUUAUGUCAUGCCGUGAAAGUGGUCAAAUUAUCAAAUACAAAUUAAUUAGUGUUUUGAAUCCAUGUUCGGAGCAAUGAAUUGCAUUUAGAAAAUUAAAAAGAUAUGGCUGAGUUCUCAGUCGGGCUGUGGGAGUGUAAAAUUUAUAACCAGAGAGUUCAAAAAAAGGGGGAAAAAUGCCUCAUAAACAGUGCUGUUGUAAUUUUAAACAUUUAGAUAUUGGAAUGAUUUUUAUAAUAGUUAUCCUCAGGACAAUACUCUGCCAAUUCUAAUUAAUUUAAAUAUGGAAAUGGUGAAAAGUGACACAGAUAGACAUCGUGCUUGGUGUCGGAGGAUGAACGCCGCCACAGGUAUGCGCAGCUUUGUGUUGUUGAAUCAAAUCAGGGUACUUCACUCUGUGCUGCCUCAGAAACAGGUCAGAGUAUCAGGAUUGUCGGGCUGUUUAUAUAUAAAUGAGGAACAUGAAGUACUGAAACUGAGAUUUCGGUUUGUUUUUACCACUGCCUGGGUGUAGUGUGGCACAACCGCCAGAUGGUGGCUGCAAGCAGUUGGCUGUAAAAUGUAAACAUGCAUGGAAGAGAAAGACAAAUGCUACAGCCCCGGUGUGGGAAUAUCUCGGGUUUAAGCUCAAUGAGCGAGUACGCCGACUUUGUUUAAAAAUGGUAGCGACAAAAAAAGGCAACACAACAAACUUGCAUGCCCACCUCAAACGCUAUCACCCGGUCGAGUUUUCCCAGGUGGGGAAAAAACUUCAUCUUGAGAUGCAGAGCCGUCGGCUCGACAGUCAACGCUUAAUGAAGCGUCUGGUCGACAAAUCAAGUACAGUCGGAACAGCGCAAGAUGGGGGGCGCUCACAGAAAGUGUAGCUCGCUACAUUGCUAAAGAAAUGCUGCCAUUUAGUACAGUUAAAAAAGUCAGCAUCCUGAGAAAUUAUACAAACUUUUGACCGACAAAACGAAUUGCCCUCCAGAAAAUAUGUAAUAUAUUAACAUUGUGGUUAUUUUGCUCUAUAUAAAGUCAACAAUAAUCUUGUUUAUCGUCAAUAGUUUGUGGGACAAUACAUCGUCCGGCAAAAUUUGUUAUCGUCCCAGUCCUAGUCUUGUUUAAACCAUGAACAGGAAGGUGCCCCUGAAUCAGUGCCCAUGUCUGAUAACACGCAUGUACUGUUCAGGGCUCGACAGUGCGACCAUUUCACUCACAACAAAUGAUUUUUUCGUGUAAAUACCGCGUUGAAGUUAGUUAUAGGUUGGAUAUUCAACGGACAUUCACUGCGGAUCUACAGGUGUCUUCUCACUCUUCAUAACUUGGAACAGCAACAGUAGCGCAGUUAAAUCUACUCGGCACCCUCACUGUCAACGUCGGGUGUCAAAUAAGGGACCGUCAAUAAAUUACCGGUUGAUGUUCUCAGAAAAGGGGGUUUUCAUUCAAUAGCUUCCAUAUCAUGUGAACAAUUGACCUAAAAAUGAUUUCAAAUAAUAGUACUUAUGUCGAUCAACAAGACACACCUUUUUAUUUCUCGAAUUUGUCCUCAUAAAAUUUUUGUGUUAAAUUUAAAGGCAAAUUUUGUAACAUUGUCUUCAAUAGCUUCCAUUACAUGCGACCAAAAGACCUAAAAACUUGGGAGCACAUGUGCCCCUUGUGAAAAAAGUUAGUGUGAAGCCCUGCUGUAUGUUUAUUACUUAUCUGUACUUACAAUGAAAACAUCUAAAGUCUUUCUCCUGAACUCUCUCCAGUAUUUUUGUACCGGACCAAACUGCAGCUGCUUCACAAUGGCCGGUAUUUGUAUUCAUCUUUUCCGUCGUUAUCACAUCACUGUUAAAAAGCCGUGGUCAUUUCCCCCUUCAUCGGCGGGAUUGUGCUGCUUUCAGGUCCACACAAAGCCGCGCGAACAGUCGCCACUCAGAAUUACACAGUGACAUGAGUGAAAGUGGGUUUUCCCACCUUUAAAACCGGGCGGUGAAAAGGGUUUUAGUGCACACUGCUCCGACAGAAGCGCUAAAAGUGAUAUGUCUAUCAUCUUUGACAUUUCACUCAGAAAUUUGAAUAUGAAUGUGAUAAAAAGGGGAAGCAAACGCUCUGAGCUGCUGUUAGGGCUUCCCUCAUGAAAGGUGAGGAUAUGUGCAGGUUUUACUUCACCUAAAGAGGCGGAUGCGCCACACUCUGCCCACUCUUAACGACUUUAGAGCCUUAUCUGGCCUCUGCAUUGAAUUCUGCUUCAGACAUCUUGUUCAUUAAAUCCUUUCAUAUCCUUCUUUGCCCGUCCGCCGUCCCUCUCCACAUUCUGUUGCUCUCUGAAGUUUAAGGUGUGUGUGUGUGAGAGAGAGAGAGAGAGCUCUGCAGCUACAGUACCAUUAUGCAGGCCUUGAAUACCGGCGUGGUCCGGUGAGUGAGAAGGCGAAGCAUUGAGUUAAUUAACAGCACGUCGGAAAAGCAGACAUAAUAGUACACCUCAGAAAAAGACUUGACAUUGAGAUGGACGGAUAAGUCAUUAAUUGGUUUUCUUAUUGGUACAAUGGCGGCGGCAGAAAGGAGGAAGGUCAAGGCGACUUUGACAGGGACCACAACUAUAUUAUGCGAAGGAGUGGCGGAGUAUGAAAGGGGACAGAUGCAAAGUCGAUGGGAGAUAACGGAAGCUGUGAAACAAAGUAAUUACACCUGAGAUGUGAGUCCGAGCCCCUCCAUGGUGAUACAGGUCAGGGCCGAGCCAAGCAUCACAAUCUCCAACACACCAGAUUUGUCUUUUUACCCAACCUGGGGGCUGCUCCGUCCCCCUCUUCCUCCUCUUCUUCUUCCUCCCUCCUUUCCUCUGGGGGGAGCGCGGUGGCACCCAUCUGAAACGCAUAUAAUUCCAGCGUCGAGAUGAAUGCCGGCGAUAGGGCGAGAAGGGGGAAUACAGCGAGAUAAUUACUGGUGAUACUCAUGAUUGUGAACGCGGCAGUGUGAAAAGGUGGGCCGCAAGAUAAAACACUCAUCAGAGAGGCGGCGAGAGAGUGCUGGAUAAACAAAUGCAUGGAGAGAUGGAACAAGAGAGGGAGAGAAGGAAAGAAGGGAGAGAUAGAGGGGGAGAAUGGCAAGGUUAAAGGCAGUGAGAUUAAGGUUACGCCGUGCAUAGGGACGGGAUUCAGAUCGUAUUAAAAGCAGAGCAGAUGAGAGGAAUGUUUCGUGUUGCGUCUGCUAAAUCAAGCGGGGUCAACGCCACGUAUCGUACGCACAAUCUGCAAGCCGUGACACUCUUAAGAGGAGCAAAAUCUGGAGUUUAAUUUCUACUCCCCCCGUUGAUUAAAUCAUUUUUCACCCUUAUGUUAAAGUGAUGAUGCAGUAGAAGAAGUAUGAAGAAAAUCUACAUAUUCCUGCAGUUAAAUUAAAGUUAAUUCAAGUUCGUGUAAAAAGAUUUGAAAAAAAAAAAAAAGGCGGUCUUAUUCGGCACAACACUUUGACUUCCUCUGUACUUUUUUGUGGCGAGCUGUUGAGGUAGCGCAGCACAUUAUCUUCACGGUAAAAACAGCCUGCAGGAGAUAAGAGCAUGUCAGGCCCGUGGCCUUGUUUGAUACGUUUGUGUGUUAAGGUGGCAAGACUGCGCCUGUGUCCACUCGUACAGGUGUACAUGCAUGCGGCCACAGCAGCACAAGCAGCAGCAGCGAUUUUUAUCACUGGCAGCUUUCCGUCCUUCAUUCACUCCCUCUCUGUCACACUCUUCCUCCUUCGUGCAGAGACAGGCGAUAAGAGACACAGAUAGCGCUUUAUGGCAUGAAUGAUAAGGAGUCAACACUCGUGUGUCCCAUCAGGGGAAAAAAAAACAACAAAACCCAAAUGAAGGCCGCCUUAUCACCGACAUCUGACACUUAAUGCAACUCCGUUUUGAAGUAAUAUGUGCCUCCACGUAGCUCUAAUGGAUUUGAGAUUUCAAGGCUUUUGAGUUUAUUGAUUCAUUUGGUGCACUUGUCCUCUGAAGGAUAUUGGUAGCUGGUCUGAAAUGUGCACAGAUUGCAGCAGAUAUACAUAUUAUGAAUGCUUAGCUUGGUUUUGAGUGCGACUUGAAAGCAUUUCUAAAACAUGUAAAGUACUGAAGAUGAACUUCCUGACCGGUACAUUUGUGAUCGUUGAGCGUAUUGCAUGCACGAGUGACGUCUAAGUCAUUAUCUGGUUUGCGGUGUUGUAGCACAAGGUGUUCGCAUCAAGAUCCGGAUCUGUACUUUUGCUGAGAAUUCAUAUGACACCGAAACUUUCAAAGAGCGGGGAGAAAACCAGGCCAUGAACUUUCCUUUAAAUUCAGUUUUAUGUAACCCAUAGAAAAGGCUUGGACGGCAUUUAACACUGCUAAUUGUGUAAUUGGGUAAAUGAUUUAAUGAACAAAUUUCUGAUUUAUUUUUUAGCAAAUUAUGCUGUAAGUUCUUCAACCACUGAUAAAAAAAAAAGUGAUUGCAAAAAUAUGGACAAAGUGUUUUUCUUGGUAAGAAGUGCGGCUGAAUUCAAACAUCUGUUUCAUCUGAUUUAUUUAUGAACGCUAAGUACCGUAAAACCCAGAAUAAAAUACCACAAGUACUUAAGAUGGAGGCUGUUUAGAUGGGUCUGCUGUGUUUCAAAUGUUUUUAGCAAUGUGUAGGGAGACCAUAUUCUGAAUCCCCAAAAAAGGACACGAUUACGUGGCGAAUAAAAUUUUGACAGUUUUUUCGGGUCGGACCGAGUGUUUUUUACGGGCUUCUAACUCAGUAAGUCCACGCAACACAAACCCAAAACUUCCGUUCAAAACCCUGGAUAUUUGAAGAAUUUUAUAAACUCCCUCGGACAAAGCCAAACAGGCUGGAAAGCCCCCAAAAAGAGGACAUGGCCGGGUAAAAGAGGAUGAAUCGUCUCCCUAGCAAUGUGCAGCAAGUAUGCAGAUGUGUAGCCUUAGCUGGUCCCGUUACAGGCACCCUGCCAACAACCAGUAUGGUAGUUCAGCUUAGCCUUAGGUAGCGGUGAGGUACAGCUAGGAUCUUUUAAAAUGUUGAAACUGGUAGGAUAUAGUUAGCUAACCAGCAAAGCUAGGUACCUGAAGGCUACAUUAUGAUACAUUCAAGAUCAGGUCAGUAAAACGUCACCCUAUAAACAUAUCAUCACCUUAUCUGUCAACCGUAAAAGUUGAGUAUCAAUAGUGAGGUGGUUAAAUGGUGCAUCCUCUUUACGUCAGUAGUUUAUUGUUGGAGCUGGGCCACAUCAGAGUCAACUCUGUUACAAGUUAAAAACGAAGUUGGGAAGUUUUUCAGCUACUUACGUAGGUUGUUUUUAGAAUUGUUAGCCAAUCUCAGGCUAAAGAUGACAAACAGAAACCUACGAAUGUAGCUAUUACCAACAUAAAACUAGCCUUAGUGGAUAUCGAUGCAUGACACUAGGGGUGUCACAAUUCUACAAAUCCUCGAUUCAAUUUAAUUUUCAACUUUAGGGUCACCGUUCAAUUCGAUUCUCGAUUCUUUUUCUCACAGCACAGAGGCCUAUGACGUUUUUAGACUAGUCUAGUCUACGGUCAUUGGUUUUAUUUAGUACAUUUUGUACAGUAAAUCUUAUUUCAAAAGAUGGGUUACAAAUAGGUGAUGCAAUUUCCAUUAUUCUUGUGUAAUGUAUCACAUUAGGCACUAAUGUUUAAAUUUAAACAAUUUAUUUAACAAUCUUGUUUUCAGUGAAGAGAAAACAGCAAAAAUAAAAAUCACAACAAAAAUGAGAACUCUACGAGGCUCGCGUCGGUUACAAUAAGCGGCGUUGUCAUUUGUUUCCACUUUGCACACAUCUUAGAUUUUGAUUACCGAGACCAUGUCAUAAUUUCGAUAAAAAAUCGAAAUCGUGACACCCCUCAUAUGAACUGUAUGUUCAUUACCGAUCUGUACUUACAAUGAUGAUACAAUGUACUUCUGAAGUCUUUCCAGUCCUGAACAGACCAAAACUUCAGCUGCUUCACAAUUUUCACCCAGAUUGGUAAUCGUAUCAUCGUGUCAAUAAUGACACACAGGAGGGGAGCCAUCUUUUAUUUGCUAAAUGAACUGCUGGUAUAAUAGCUUAUAUUUCACAUCCAUUGCGUGGAUUAGCAUAAAACAGCAUCCAUCUGCAUCUAUCGUGCAGCUUCCCACAUACCGCAGCCAGUUUUAGCGCAUAUUACUUAAUCUACUGAUUUUGUUAAAGAUCUUGCAACAUAAUCAACUCCUGCAAAACGAAUGAAGCUAUUAAAGUUAAUUUUUAGAUUGAUGACAAAGGAUAAAGUGGAAAUGAAAAUCAGUUUUCCAAUAAAAUCAGCAAUCAUUCAGAGACGAUUCGCACAAAUAUGUUUCUACAUUUGCAGCCUCGUCUUCUUCCCAACACACACACACACAUUUAGAGCAGAAGAGCGGUGAAUGAAAUCCACGUCAUGUCUCCUCGGCUGCAACGGUCCCAUUUUUCAGUCAAGAUCAUUAUUCGUCUGUGAAUGUAUUUCUAGCAGAUAAAAAAAAUUAAUUUAUCAAACUGUCUUUAAAUAAAUGCAGUUGUCACCAGCUUGUGGGCACCGUGGCGGAAGCAUGAUGCAGAAUUUAUUAAAAACUCAGCCCCCUCGCUCAUCCUUCCUCUGCAAAUGCAUUCAUCUUUGUGACGAGGGAAUAUGAGUGAGAUCCCAAUCAUGGCUCAAGGUGCUUUAUUGAGCCGUUUUAGGUUGUUUUUAGGUGAGUCUGUGUGACUACAAUCAGGUGGGCUUUCAGAAAUAAGUAAUGGCAUCGCUGGGAGAUACUCGGCAGCCAUUUCAUAUCUGGAAUAUACAGGUUAUAAAUCAUUUUUGCUGCUUUUAAAUGUUUGAUUUUCUUUCUCUUCUCAUACAUUGACCUUAAGAGGAUGACAGGAGGAUUGAGAUUGUGGUGUUAUUAAAGAAAUGUGACACAGGAGUGAUGAAAAUGUUUUACAAAUGGAUCCGCAGUUUUUUUUUUGUGACCAGCAUAAACAUUUCUUUGAGAAGAAAAAGUACUGAAGGUUAAACUUUCAUGUGAUUUGUGAUGUUUGCUCCGUUUUCUGAAGUGGAGGCUUUUCAUGUAUGAUCCAAAUGUCCUAUUAAGGACCACCUAUGUCUUCUUUUAGUGCCUGGUGAUGCAUUCACUGCUGGCCUACCUGCAUAUUUAUGUUUGUGCACUCCUCUGGCAGUGUGUGUUUGUAUAUUGUACACCAGCUCAGUUUAAACCACUCCAUCGGCUUUCUGCAAAUGGAAAACUCAGAUGCAGAUGUGUGCGGCUGCAUGGAAAAGGAACCUCAAACCCAUCCAGACGUUAUCUCCCUCUGAUCCGAGGCCUCGAAUGGUUGGAUAAACAAGUCCCUUUUCCGAAUUGUGUUUGGAAAGGGAAUUGUGCCCGCCGCGCUGCCGCUGGGCCCAUGGCUGGAGCAAAGAGAGUCCACUUUGUGCAACACACCAGGCGGAUAUGAAGAGCAGAUGUCCUGUCUGCUGCCAUCCAGCUCCAGACUUAAAGCUGCAAACACGUCACUGAGGAUGACUGGCUGGAAAGUGGAGCCCCAAAAGCUCCUAGAGUUGUUGUGCAUGUCUAUUUUUGGGAGGUGGUUGGCGGGUUUGAAGAGGUUUGAAAAGGAGAGCUUAUUCGUUGCAGGCCCGGUUUGCUGCAGCCAAGAGUGAUUCACAGUUAGGAGUGCUCACAGAGCCCCUAGUGGUCAGAUAAGAAAGGACGGGUGUAACAAAGUUUUCUUAAGAUCCGCUGUGAUUACCGUGGAGGCGAAGGAAGCUCUGAAGGUCAAAAUAUUGAUAAUGAAUGCUCUCAAAAAACUACUUUUGUCAAAUCAAAUUAUGAACUCAAGAAAAAAACAAACAUUUGAUGAAACACAAGUGCAUUUUAUAGUGAAGUUAAUGUCAGAACUUGACAUACUGUCUUUAGUUGCCGGCUGUUUUGUCCCUUUCUGCACACCGUAGUUCAGCUGAUGCUUUGUCCUCCUAUUUGCCUUUAUUUUGAUAGGACAGCUUAAAGGGAGACAGGAAAUGUGAGGAUGGGGGUGGGGUGGGUGCAUGCACCAAAUCUUGCCAGUACAGGUGAACAAGGGUACGAGGACUGAGGAGUGUACCUUCAAUAUAUCCGCUGAGCUGAACCAGUGCCCCAAAAACUAACAAAACUAUAACAUCAUUUUAAUUUGACAACAGACUAAUAAUAAAAAAUGGACAACCCUUAAUUAAAAAGUAAUGAGUUUUGUCAGAGUAUCAUUUUUUACAAACCAGCUGUUUUUGGACUUUGUAACUCUUGUAGCAGCGAUGUAUUCUGACCUUCAGGGCCACCGUAACACUCUCUCCGCCCAUUGUGAAAGUUUGGGCUCUAGUUUUACCAUUUACACUCAACUUUUUAAAAAUGACAGAAUUGAAGCUACCCAGUUAAGAAUCUCUUACACUUUUAUAAUUACCAGAGACACCAUCUUUUCUCUUUGCUUAAUUAGAAGAAUUUUCUGCCCAUUCGCUUCCUUUUGUUUCUCAGGACUGUCACCAAUCCCCUCAGAGACACUAAAGCUCCAACUUCUUCCAUCCCUCUAUCCCUCCCUCCCACUACUCAUUUAAACUUUUUUCUUUUUUUUUUUAGAAUAAUGCUGAUUUUAUCUCUGUCAUAAUUGCAGUAUAAUUAUGGGAGGUAAUUCUCCCAUGGUGCCUGGCCAGGUCCGCAGCCACAGCGUGAGCAGAAUCUGCUUGGAGGUUAAACUCCUGAUUUGAAAUUGAGAGGCAGAACGAUGGGGAGGAUAGGAGCGUGUACGCCACAGUGUGCGCAGUUAGUUAACGGGUUACAAAGUGUCUCUGACCUUGAAAAAGUCCAACAAAGAGGUUAAUUUCUGUGCGUAUACACAAGUUUCCACUGAACACAUUGGCUAUUUAUUCCAAAAAAAGAUUAACCGUUGCAACAAGGUUUGAAUCGGAUUAUUAUGAUAUCAGACAGACAGACAAAGGUUGAUCAAUAAAUGUUCAAUAAAAUAAUGCUUUGCACUAAAUUUAUUUAGCUAAAAAUGGCUGCAAAGCCUUUUUUCUCCACAGUAACCAGUAAACCGACAACUAUUAAAAGCCUAGUCCCUUUUAGUUUUUUACCAAGCCAACUCAUCUGAUACUUACAACGGAGUAUUAGGGCCACAUUAAGGAAAAACAAAAAUUAAGACUUUGAGAUUUAAGUCAUAACUAACGAGAAUAAAGUUGCAAUAAAAUCAUUUCUUAAGAGAAUAAAGUGGUAAAGUAAAUGAAGUCUUAAAGCUGCUUUUGUGGAGGAGGAAAUGGCUGAACUAGUCAACUGCAGAGUUAUCAGUGGGUGCAUCAGUGGGCCAUUCAGAGAGCUUUUGUGGUUUAUUAAACAACAAUCCAACCGAUGGUCAACAAUCACAAUUCAGAGGGAGUCGAGCUCCAACGAGCACCGCUUCUGUUUCUGAUGCCAACACAACACCGGCAGCAACCUACACCUGCAGAGGCACCAACACCUUAUGUCAUAUAUAGAUUUAUACGAUAAACUAAAACCAUAUGCUAUUGCUUUAAACGGCUGCAUUGAGGGAUUUAGCCUCUGCACAGCCAGAAAUUCCCUACAAGUCCGUCUGGUUCUUUCUGCAGAAAAGAUGCAUUUCUUGCAUAUGUCCUGAUACUUAUGACAAUGUGAUGCUGAAACGCCAAAGGAUUUAUCUCCUUGUUUGUGAAACCUAGCUACUGAAGUUCAAUUCAUCUAAAUGCUCCGCAGCGCUCAUUUAAACAACUGACAACAGGUUAGAACAGCUAUUAGCUAUGACUUUAUUCUCGUAAGUAAUAAUGAAGCCUUAAUUUUUUUUUUCUUAAAAAAGGCCCUAAUACUCCUUCUUAGAUACUCUACAAUGAAGCGGCUCAAAAUGACCUUUUUAAUUGGUCUUACUGGUUUUGCUGGUGGCCUAACUUCCAGUAAAACUUUACGACAGAGCACGUCUUCCCUUGUUGAAUAAAACUGUCGCUGUAUUAAUGUACUGAGGUCAAGAGUACUAUUCAAUGGUCAGGUUACGAUAAGACGGCCCUGUACUGGGUCAAGAUCACUCAGUCGGCCUUUUGUGCUGAUAUUCUGUAUUUAUAAACUUCAACCACUCAAGUCUAAUAACUUUCCCUCUGUUUGAACAAAAAGUCAAAUUUCAGAUAAGAAGCCUGAAUACUUGAUAUUUUU
rnacentral:lncRNA from 1 species